rnacentral:lncRNA from 8 species
GUUGAUGUGGGAUGAUGAUGAUGUGGGAUUCCUCACAGCAAUCAAGACCUUCAUGACGACAACCAAGAGACCAGUGAUACUGACCACUAGUGGUGUGUGUGUAUAUACUGUAUACUGAAAAAUAGGAAUUCAAUCUGUAUUGAAAAAUUAUGUGGAAGUCAUAACACGAAAACUGUCUUCAGAUCCCUCCUUCAAGGCAAAGUUUGACGGCGACUUUGAAGCGAUCCUUUUUAAAAACCCCUUCAGUAGUGAAUGUUUGCAGUUAUCUGCAGCUGCUGUGCCUGGCUGAGAACGUCAGGAUGGAUGCUGGGGACAUCACCUCUCUGGUGAGCCUGAACCAGCUACACAUCAGACGUACCCUACUGCAGCUCUGGAUCUGCAGUGGAGGAGGACAAGCAUCUCAGAGGGCAAGGCCACUGAAGGACCCUGCAGUUGGUGUGUAUGGAACUCUGGAUGUUGCUGCAGUGGAAGAUAUUGCAGUGGGUGAAAAUACUUCUCCCCGCCAUCCUCCCUGUGACAUGGGCUGCACUCCGAGCAUGCUGGGGCUCCUGAACUCUGGCCCCAGCCAUGACCUGCAGACCAGUCUAAAGUGCCAGUCCUGGGCUAAACCAGACAUCAUCAAGCUGAUGGAGAUCCUUACUGAGAGCUGGAGGAGAGGUGUAGCGUGUAGCUUUGCUCUACUCGAACCUGGAGCUCCUCCUUCCCCUACCAGUCAGGACCCAGCCCAGUCCUCUCCUCACCCCAAAGAAAGUGACUCGCCCUAG